rnacentral:rRNA from 1 species
CAGCCGCCGCGGUAAUACGUAGGGUCCGAGCGUUGUCCGGAAUUAUUGGGCGUAAAGAGCUCGUAGGCGGUCUGUCGCGUCUGCCGUGAAAUCCUCAGGCUCAACCUGAGGCGUGCGGUGGGUACGGGCAGGCUAGAGUGCGGUAGGGGAGAAUGGAACUCCUGGUGUAGCGGUGGAAUGCGCAGAUAUCAGGAAGAACACCGAUGGCGAAGGCAGUUCUCUGGGCCGUAACUGACGCUGAGGAGCGAAAGCGUGGGGAGCGAACAGGAUUAGAUACCCCCGUAGUCCCUGUCUCUUAUAC